UACGGAGGUUCCAAGCGUUGUUCGGAAUUACUGGGCGUAAAGGGAGCGCAGGCGGAUAGGUCAGUCUAAAGUGGAAAUCCGGGGCUCAACCUCGGACUUGCUUCGGAUACUGCCUGUCUUGAGUUCGUGAUAGGAAGAUGGAAUUCAGGGUGUAGCGGUGAAAUGCACAGAUAUCCUGAGGAACACCGGUGGCGAAAGCGGUCUUCUGGCACGAAACUGACGCUGAGGCUCGAAAGCGCGGGUAGCAAACGGGAUUAGAUACCCCGGUAGUCCGCGCCGUAAACGUUGUGUACUAGGUGUAGGAGGUAUCGACCCCUUCUGUGCCGCAGCUAACGCAUUAAGUACACCGCCUGGGGAGUACGCGCGCAAGCGUGAA
rnacentral:rRNA from 1 species